rnacentral:rRNA from 1 species
UAACACAUGCAAGUCGUACGAGAAAGUCCGCUUCGGUGGAUGAGUAAAGUGGCGCACGGGUGAGUAACGCGUGGAUAAUCUACCCCUCAGUCUGGAAUAACGUACCGAAAGGUGCGCUAAUACCGGAUGACACUGCACAACUACUGUUGUGUAGUCAAAGAUGGCCUCUGCUUGCAAGCUUUCGCUGAAGGAUGAGUCCGCGUACCAUUAGCUAGUUGGUGGGGUAAUGGCCUACCAAGGCUGCGAUGGUUAGCUGGUCUGAGAGGAUGAUCAGCCACACUGGAACUGAGACACGGUCCAGACUCCUACGGGAGGCAGCAGUGAGGAAUAUUGCGCAAUGGGGGCAACCCUGACGCAGCAACGCCGCGUGAGUGAGGAAGGUUUUCGGACCGUAAAGCUCUGUCGAGCGGGAAGAAAUGCAUUAUGGCUAAUAUCCAUAAUGCUUGACGGUACCAUUAGAGGAAGCACCGGCUAACUCCGUG